rnacentral:lncRNA from 1 species
UGGCAUUCAUUUGGAAAGCAUUUGCUUCCUUAAGCUGGUACUGGGGCAUCGCAUUCUACUGCAAUCGUAUUGAAACAAAGAAACUAGUCGGAAAUUAAGUUCAACCGAUUCAUCAUUUUGAGAAUAACGACUAAAAAAUUUAUUGGCUAGUACUGCUGAUUUAUAUAUAUUGCAUGUGGCAUUUUAUGGUAGUCCAUCCUAUGUCUUCUGUUAUCUUGUCCGCUUUGAUCCAUCUCGUGACUCACCUAAUGCUCCAAAGAUUACAAACUCGAAGAAUCAUCCUGCAUUCAAUCAAGCAGCAUUUCCUGUUGAUAUCUAUAAAAACCAAAUUCCCAACCAUCUUAAUCUAUAGCAGCUUAUGCUUAUUUAUUGCACACAUGAAUUCUAAUUCACUGCUUAGCUCUAAGCAUUCUUAAUAUAAAUAUGUUAUCAAAACUUUUGAAAUACAUUACUCCAAGUUGCCUUCAUAUAGAGAAGGCUUGGAAGCCAAAUUAAUCCUCAGAUAAAUGAUAACGAAAAGCAAGAAUUGUGAUUUCGAAAGAAGAAAAAGAAAAGAAAAAGAAAUUCAGCAUAGCACGCUAAUGCCACUCUUAAUUUGGUACAUUCAUACUGGAAACAUAUCAUCGUUGACUAGAUUUUACAAGGAAAAUAAAUGGAUACAAACCCUAGAAUGCAUUCAACAAACUAUGCAAACAACCUCAACAAGAACUCACCUCAUCAGCGAAGAGUAACCACAAAUUAAACAAAAAUGGGAAAAUAAAAAGGACGCACACUACUCCAAACAGAUAGGAUGAAGAUUUUAGGAGCCCAAAAAAUAAUAAUUAAACAGAAGCUUUCAGAGAUACUAUAUAUAUGUGCACACGACGGAAAGAGCUAGAAUAGGCAGUUGGAUUCUUACUUAUGUGAGAGAAACAGUGAUAAAUUAAUGAGCAGGAGAGAGAAACUAAGUGGGGAUCACAUCAUAGGGGUUUCACUUGACACGAGGGUAGUGGUAGAGUAAGCGGCGGAGGAGUCGCCUGAGAUGAAGGCGGAGCAAUUGAAGAAGUGUGAAUUUUUUUCAACCGAAGCGCAUAUACCCGAAGACAGAGAAAACCCUCUUCGGACCAACCUGCUCUUCUCCGCCUUCUCUCUCAUCUUUUUCUCUCUCUACCUUUUUUAAUCUACUCCCUCCGUCCGCCAAAAGUAGACUACUUUGGUUGGGCACAGGAUUUAAUAAAAUUGGUGAUGAUUUUGAUGUAGUGGAGAAAGGGUCCCACCACUUUAUUAGAUGUGUGGUUGAGAUUGAAUUUGGGGUGAGUUUUUUUGUAAAUAAAGAGUGUUUGUAAGGAUAAAAGAUUAAAGUGGGUGGUGGGACCAUUUCCAUAAAAGGAAAGUGGUAUACUCUUUGCGGACGCC